rnacentral:rRNA from 1 species
AGUGAACGCUGGCGGUAGGCCUAACACAUGCAAGUCGAACGGCAGCACAGUAAGAGCUUGCUCUUACGGGUGGCGAGUGGCGGACGGGUGAGGAAUACAUCGGAAUCUACUUUUUCGUGGGGGAUAACGUAGGGAAACUUACGCUAAUACCGCAUACGACCUACGGGUGGAAGCAGGGGAUCUUCGGACCUUGCGCGAUUGAAUGAGCCGAUGUCGGAUUAGCUAGUUGGCGGGGUAAAGGCCCACCAAGGCGACGAUCCGUAGCUGGUCUGAGAGGAUGAUCAGCCACACUGGAACUGAGACACGGUCCAGACUCCUACGGGAGGCAGUGGGGAAUAUUGGACAAAGGGCGCAAGCCUGAUCCAGCCAUACCGCGUGGGUGAAGAAGGCCUUCGGGUUGUAAAGCCCUUUUGUUGGGAAAGAAAAGCAGCAGGUUAAUACCCCGCUGUUCUGACGGUACCCAAAGAAUAAGCACCGGCUAACUUCGUG